rnacentral:rRNA from 1 species
GUCUUUUUGAUUUUAAUUUAAAGUUUAACCUGCCCAUUGAAAAUUUUUAAAAGGCUGCGGUAUUUUGACUGUACAAAGGUAGCAUAAUCAUUAGUUUUUUAAUUGAAAACUUGUAUGAAUGGUUGAAUGAAAAAUUAACUUUUUUAAAAAAAUAAUUGAAUUUUACUUUUUAAUUAAAAGGUUAAAAUAAAUUUAAAAGACGAGAAGACCCUAUAGAGUUUUAUAAUUUUUAUUUAAUAUUUAAAAAGAUUAAUUAAAAUUUUAUAAAAGAAAAUAUUUUGUUGGGGUGAUAAUAAAAUUUAAAUAACUUUUAUUUUUUUUUACAUUAAUAUAUGAAUUUAUGAUCCAUUAUUGAUGAUUAAAAAUUUAAAUUACCUUAGGGAUAACAGCGUAAUUUUUUUUUAAAGUUCAUAUUAAUAAAAAAUUUUGCGACCUCGAUGUUGGAUUAAGAUUUAAUUUUAGGUGCAGCAGUUUAAAUUUUAAGUCUGUUCGACUUUUAAAUUCUU